UGAAAUACAAUUUAAAAUAAUUCUGAAUGUCAAAUUUGUUUUAAAAAGGUUUUCUUCAUCAUUUUUUUUUUGCUUAUUUCAAGUGGAACAUUUUAAUAAAUUCACACGAUUAAGUCAUGAAUGUACUCCAUAUUGAAAAUUUAAAUAUGGAAAUAUAUCUAAAAUACAUUUAUAGUGGUGUGAUUCUCAAUAUAACUUUGUAAAAGUCCUGCUAUCAUUGAACUGUUUGUUUUUAAAGGCAUCCAGGACUUAUUUUGUGACGGUACGCAUCUGUACGGCGUACCAGCACCUUUUUGAAAAAAAUAUUACUUUUCUUGUAUUUUAACGUAUAGUAUUAAUUUUUAGUAGUUAAAAGUUAGGCAAUCAACUACUGAGUACCGGCACCUAAUCACUGAGUACUGGCACCAAUUUUUUUUUACAAAAAAAGCACUGAAGGUAUCAAUAUAUAUGGUAUGUUACUUCACUGAAGGUAUCAAUAUAUAUGGCAUGUUACAUCACUGAAGC